CCUACGGGAGGCAGCAGUGGGGAAUAUUGGACAAUGGGGGAAACCCUGAUCCAGCGACGCCGCGUGAGUGAAGAAGUAUUUCGGUACGUAAAGCUCUAUCAGCAGGAAAGAAAAUGACGGUACCUGACUAAGAAGACCCGGCUAACUACGUGCCAGCAGCCGCGGUAAUACGUAGGGGGCAAGCGUUAUCCGGAUUUACUGGGUGUAAAGGGAGCGUUGACGGCAGCGCAAGUCUGGAGUGAAAUGCCGGGGCUCAACCCCGGAACUGCUCUGGAAACUGUGAAGCUGGAGUGCAGGAGAGGUAAGCGGAAUUCCUGGUGUAGCGGUGAAAUGCUUAGAUAUCAGGAGGAACACCGGCGGCGAAGGCGGCUUACUGGACUGUAACUGACGUUGAGGCUCGAAGGCGUGGGGAGCAAACAGGAUUAGAUACCCUAGUAGUC
rnacentral:rRNA from 1 species